rnacentral:lncRNA from 1 species
AUCAGUGUAGUAGGGACCAGGUGAACAGGUAAGUGUGGUGAUACCCGAGCAUGCUUAUGCGGUGAGAGUGUGGCGCCUGCUGGGGCAGGUAGAGAGCCAAGCGGCACUAGCAAAUGGCUAGUAAUAGUCCUUGGACGAGAAAUGAGACUCGUGGCGAACAUGAAAUAGUGAAGUAACUCUCAAGGCAAUGGAUAGGAGAUUGCGAGAGUUGAGCCAUGAUGUUUGAGGAUACCCGAAGAGUCCGGAAAUUUCGGAUGUGGUUCCAGUAGAUCGAGCAGUGAAAGUAGAUCACUGAUGAGAGAAUGGUUGGUUAAUGCCAAGUUUAGCCUCUGGGCCUUGUAGUACCUCGAAUUGAGGUAGGUGAGUAGUGCUCGUGUAGUCGGUGUGCAUAGGCAAAGUGGCCUAAUCCUGGACUUCGUGUGAGACGCUGUAGAAGUGUGGAGCGCUCGAGUGUGGGUACUCGUAGAGUGUAGUUUCGAUUCAGCCGAGUGAGUGAGUUGGCAGUAGCACUUCAGCAUUGCUAAGUGUGAAGCGGGCCAUGGAUUACUCGUAGGGCUGGUGGCUCGCACUGGUGCUUAGGAGCCGAUAGUGGUACUUGUAGCUCUGUGGAGCAUGUCGUGUAGGACGACGUUGGCGGGUAUUGCUUGGGGACGACCCAUGCCUGGACCACUUGUGGACUGUAGAGCCUGGGCCGUUGGGUAGGCACAGUCGGCUGUUUGAGACAGCGGCCCGGUACCUACGGGUAGGGCAGAGUUUUGGUCAGGACGGUAGUCCGAGCUUGGACCCGGGAGCGUGGAAUGCCACGCAUUAGAGCAUGAGAUCGAUGAUGCACUAAGAGUGCGGUUGUGACCCAACCCGAGGACUUGACGUGGUUUAGGGUCUUGGUUGCUCCUGGUUAGAGUGUGUGCGAAUUC